rnacentral:rRNA from 1 species
UACGGAGGGUGCGAGCGUUGUCCGGAAUCACUGGGCGUAAAGGGCGCGUAGGCGGUCUGUUAAGCGUGCGGUGAAAGCCCGGGGCUCAACCCCGGGUCUGCCGUGCGAACUGGCGGACUUGAGCACUGUAGAGGCAGGUGGAAUUCCGGGUGUAGCGGUGGAAUGCGUAGAGAUCCGGAAGAACACCGGUGGCGAAGGCGGCCUGCUGGGCAGUUGCUGACGCUGAGGCGCGACAGCGUGGGGAGCAAACAGG